UACGUAGGGUGCGAGCGUUAAUCGGAAUCACUGGGCGUAAAGUGUGCGCAGGCGGCAGAGCAAGUCGAGUGUGAAAGCCCCGGGCUUAACUUGGGAAUUGCGCUCGAAACUACUUUGCUGGAGUGUGGCAGAGGAAGGUGGAAUUCCACGUGUAGCGGUGAAAUGCGUAGAGAUGUGGAGGAACACCAAUGGCGAAGGCAGCCUUCUGGGCCAACACUGACGCUCAUGCACGAAAGCGUGGGGAGCAAACAGG
rnacentral:rRNA from 1 species